UGAACCCGUACAGUCACAGCCUUAAACCAGAACUUAAGUGAAAAGCAGACCAGGGCUGUGGGAUUUACCAUGAAGGUGUUAUAAGGGAUCUUGCAGAAACAUUUUGGAUUUGUCGGGAUAGAUUCCGGCUCACCACCCCCCCUCCCCCCGGGGCCCUGUAUUACGGGAGAGAAAAUGGAUGGGCGGAGAAGACGACUUCGCUUCUGAACACCCGCGGCUCGUUUUUAAACCCAUCUUCGGUUUCGACGUUUCCAAAAUGUCGCCACAUUUUGGAAAUAACAUUUUGGCAUAACUGAUUUGGCCGUGUUGUGCGCAAACUGUUCCGGCUAACGGCUAUUCUCUCUGGCGCGGGCGAACCGAAGGCCUCCGACGACCCGUCUAACAGCCCUUCAUGUUUAUUUCUAAAACAAACUGAAAUCUUCUGAUCUCAUCAUUACAUUUGCGAGGGCAAAUGGAGAAUGGAAAGGCAAACUGAAGUGAUGUUCAGAUUAAUAAAACACCGCUACCUCGCCACGGCCGGCGCUCUGUGAUGAACGAGGGACAGGCUGAGGCGUGGAGUCGGAGAGGGCGGAAAAUCAAGAUCUAGGAGCUGCCUGCAGCAAAAUCGAACAGAGCUAGAUUUCUAGAGACCUGCACCAUUACCAAAUGCUCUUGGAGUGAUUGACUGAGAAAAGGCAUCUAUGUCAGUAUGAGAUUUUCAGGAGACUAGCUAUUUCAAGCCACUUGACCUUCAGAGCUGGUUUUAACCAUGAAUGAGUGUUUUUCAUGCAUUAUUAGAGGAGGCCAAAAUGCACCCGAGUUUUGAAAUCGGAGCCCAGGUGGAUGAACUAAAAAACUUGCAAUGACCUCAGUGGAAGUGAGGAUUUGGGGGAAGUAUCCCAAAGGCACAGCAGUGAAUGUGAAGUGUUCGAGGUAGCCGCAGCUGUAGGCACUCUGACGGGAACAGAUGUAGCGAACGCUGGCAAAAUGGAAAGAAUCUGAAGUACCAUUUGAUGAUUUAGAGGAGCAAUGAUUUAGAAGAAAGAAGCUUGGUAGCUCAUGUUUAGUCUUACCACUCAGGUUAAUUGUAAACCAUAUCAAUGUAUAUGCAGUAAACCAUAUAUGAUGAUAUGAAAAAUUGUAAUUGCACAAAAAGUAAUCUUUUUCAGUAAUCACAUAAACAGUCAAAAUGUUCAGUAGGUACAGUAUGUACUGCCUAUACUUUCCCUGUAGUCCAGCACAGACAUGUCUUGACUGAGUUGCUGAUAUUUGGUCGCUCAUUGCAACUGGCAGCUCCAGUCAGAGAAUGAAGACACCCAAAAAAUGUAGCUAGGUGCAUUGAAGCCGUAAUUGUGUUAGCAUGAGGGAAGUCAUGGAGGGUGGAGGUAUUGAAGCCAUUGGACAUCUGUCAUUGCCAGUGGCAGGCAGCACGCUGUCACAACUGUCAGGUCCUGCACAAUGUGCAGCCUCAAACAUCUCCCCUUGAUCUUUAUCAGUGUAGACGCAGCAGUGCUCAGUUUUGUUCUUGGCAGCUAAGUGCUAUCAGUCCCUACAGCUCAGGAUUCAAAGGCAGGAAAGGAGCCUUGCUGCGAAUUUAGAGCAGUAUUCCGUUUCACUAUGCAAGCUAAUAAAAUUUAAUUGCUUCCUUUUAAAAGUUAAAAUAGCUGCUCCAGGAUAAAAUAUCCCCAAGCAGUGUGGGGAGCUGAAGUGAAGCUGGAAAGUUAAAAUGCAUAUUUGCUGCAGACAAAAAGGACAAGGGUUGCUUAGAAAACAAGCCAUUUCAAUUUAAGGGUGUGAUCUGCAACUGAAGUUUACAGAUGGAUGACGAUAGGAUCCUUAUGUUGUUCUUGAAAAAAAAUAAUAAUUCCUUGUCCUUCAGGAUCAACCUUCAAGUCAGUGAUAAAUAACACUGAAGCCUGAAAAUCAAUGCGUGACAUGUCAUUCAUUUAUAAAGCUGGUUAUUGUAACCGAGUAGUGAAAAGGCUCAAAUAAAUCUACUAUUUGUUAUGAACAUUUCUGUGUUUUACAGUGAUUGAGCUGAGAUGUCUUGUUAGUGCAAGUUUGGGGCUGUUCACCAUAUUUACUUUUAGUGCUUGAGAUGCAUUUUAAAAUCACUUAAAAGCUAUUCAUGUGGUUUGCAUGCACAGGCUGUGGCUAUCUAUUGCACAUCAGAAAGAGCAGUUCUAAGCAUGCAGUAUUCCAAAAUGCAUCACGCACCCUGUGCAUUUAGACCGCACUGUAUACAUUUGAAUGAGAAAUUUUAUAUAUUCCCAUUCUGCAUCUGUAAUAAAUUUGAGACGAAACGGGAGUAAUGGGUUAUUGUGCCAGUAUGGAACAAACUUCAUGCCUACAGAAAUCAUUGCCACCUCACAUAUUUCACUUAAUAAACAAAUAGACACCAGCUGCAUUCCAGUACCCAGCACUUUUAUUUAUUAAGAAUGGACAGACUUCCUUUGUUUCCAUGGAAUGCCUUCUAUAAAGAAUGGAAGUCCAGCAUGCGGGACUGAGAUGCAGUGGUUUGUUUUGACAUAUUGUAAUUAUCCAAUGCUUUGGCCAUGAUUUAAAAAAUAGCUUAUGAUUUAAAAAAUAAACUUUUGACCAAACACAGUCACAAACCUCGCACUCACUGACGACUUUCCUCUGCAUGGAGAAAAUGCUUGGAAAUUUUUUUUCCUUCAAGUGAGGAUUUGAACUUUGUGAUGGGCAGUUAGGGGUGAAGGUUCAGCUUAAUUCACGGCUUCUUCAGGGUGUAGAAACACUGCAGCUUUGGUCUCCAUUAUCAAAGAGGUCUGUGAAACCGAAGAGACAGAAAGAAAAACCCAUGCUAAUUACCUGCAACACUAAACUCUAAGAAAAACAGCUGUAAUUGCCAAGAAGAUUUUUCCUUAGCUUUGAUAAUAAAUUCAUAUUUAACCUUUAAGAACUGAGCUCCCACAUCAACAUGAGAUUUCGAAGUCUCUGCUUUUAUUUAUGAUUCAUUAAUGUCUCUCAUCCAAUUUAACAGUUUCUCCUAACAUGCCUUGCAGCUGAAAAUGAAUGUCCUCCGUGGGCAUCUUAUCUGUGGGUAUGGAGGCUGAUGAGGAUAAUCUGGGACAGAGUCAGCUGCAGCCCGGGCCGCGUGUUUCAUGUGGGAACGGUCCACAAUGUGUUGGCUGUUUGCAGUUCUCAUGUUGUUGUUUUUGUUUUGCAGAGAUCUUAAUGUUUGUCUGUCUGGAUUCCGUCUAAAUUCGAAAGAUCUUCUACAGGCAGUAUUGAUACCGCUCAGGAACAAGUAAAGGCUUAUUCCGUGCUGACAAGAGAAGAAAGGAAACGCAACAUUUCGGCUCUUCAGCUAAUAAUGAAGAAUGGAUUCUUCUGGUUUUUAGUCUCCACCAUGAUUUUUAUUUUGAUGAAUUCUACGAAAGCUAAUUUAAGGUUUUUAUUUGACAAGUUUUUCAGGUACUGUAUGUGAACUUCCACUUCACUGGGGUUGGCAUUUUAUGAACUCCGUGAUCAAUGGAAGAAACAUGAGCAAGAUCAACACAGGAACCAGAUAUAGACCAGCUGUCUGCUUUGUUAACUUGUAAUAAAUCACAGUUACACGAAAGUUGGUCGUUACAAACCAAUGCAGAGGGAUUCGAAAACGGCAUUUACAUGAUCAAUCUGCAGGCAAAAGUUGAAACGCUUUUUGAGACUGGAUGUUUUACAUUGAAUUGCAAAGUAUCUGCAAAGAAAGGAAAGUAUUCUUGGUCUGAAAUUGUGCAAAGCAGGCCUCGUCAGACCAUGGACGGAAAGGACUUCUUGUGUGUUUGGAAAAGAAUCAUCUUCACUAAUCUCCAAAACUCAGACCCCCUGGAAAUGGAAGAGCUUUACAUUCCUGGGGACAGUGAGUCUUGAGUCAUUUCACACCUGUGAACAAGGACUAGGCAAUCUCACAUGCUUUUAACAGCAUGUAGGUGUGAUCACACAGGUCAGACCUGACACUUCCACUGAACAUGCAGGGUACACCUACACAAUUUAUUUUUACACAUCCCAUCAUUGGCUUGGAAGUCCCAGCUGUCUUGCAGUAAGAAUUGUUUUGUGAAAGUGUACAGCAGGUCAUAACAUUAUUUUCUAGAUGUUUCUUUGGAAAACAUUAAAGGAAGGUUUUUCUGUG